rnacentral:rRNA from 1 species
UACGGGGGGAGCAAGCGUUGUUCGGAUUUACUGGGCGUAAAGGGCGCGUAGGCGGUCAGCACAAGUCAGUUGUGAAAUCUCCGGGCUUAACUCGGAAAGGUCAACUGAUACUGUGCGACUAGAGUGCGGAAGGGGCAACUGGAAUUCUCGGUGUAGCGGUGAAAUGCGUAGAGAUCCGGAGGAACACCAGUGGCGAAGGCGACACGCUGGGCCGUACCUGACGCUAAAGCGCGACAGCAUGGGGAGCAAACGGG